rnacentral:rRNA from 1 species
UACGAAGGUCCCAAGCGUUAUCCGGAUUUAUUGGGUUUAAAGGGUGCGUAGGCGGGUUAUUAAGUCAGUGGUGAAAGCCUUCAGCUCAACUGAAGAAUUGCCAUUGAUACUGAUGAUCUUGAGUAUGAUUGAGGUGGGCGGAAUGUGUCAUGUAGCGGUGAAAUGCUUAGAUAUGACACAGAACACCGAUUGCGAAGGCAGCUCA